rnacentral:rRNA from 1 species
GACGAACGCUGGCGGCGUGCUUGACACAUGCAAGUCGAACGGAAAGGCCUGCUUUCCCUUGUGGAUUGCGGGUACUCGAGUGGCGAACGGGUGAGUAACACGUGAGUGAUCUGCCCCCAACUUGGGUAUAAGCCUGGGAAACUGGGUCUAAUUCCCGAUAGGACUGCAGGGUGGUGCCUGUGGUGGAAAACGAUUUUCUAGUGGUUGGGGAUGAGCUCGCGGCCUAUCAGCUUGUUGGUGGGGUAAUGGCCUACCAAGGCGGCGACGGGUAGCCGGCCUGAGAGGGUGGACGGCCACAUUGGGACUGAGAUACGGCCCAGACUCCUACGGGAGGCAGCAGUGGGGAAUAUUGCAUAAUGGGCGGAAGCCUGAUGCAGCGACGCCGCGUGGGGGAUGACGGCCUUCGGGUUGUAAACUCCUUUCGACCGCGAGGAAGCCACCUGGUUGGAAGGGUGGUGACGGUAGUGGUAGAAGAAGCACCGGCUAACUACGUG